rnacentral:lncRNA from 1 species
CGGGUUAACUUAUCAGUUUAACACAUAUAUGACGUGUUUGAUAAAAUACCUAAAGAUCAGAUAGGGUGCUAUCAAAGUAAAUGGCAACUUUCCAACAAAAAGAGGACAAAAAAUUAACUGUGUUUAUUUUCAGAUAUAAAUUUUGAUGAAUCAUAUUAUCAAUCAUUUAUAGAGUUGUUAUAUGGUGCUAUGAGAAUGCAACAUAUAGGAAUAGCAGACAUUGAUGACACUGAUAGAAUGCAAUUUUUACUAGAUGGCCUCUUCAUAACAAAAAGAUAAAUCUGCUAUUUUUGAUUUCAGGCGACAACAGAAAGUGGGAGAGUCCUCUUCUACCUUUUAUUCCUUACCCAACAUCCUGCCAUUCAGAUCGGCCCCUUCCCAGCACUCCGAUUAAACCCCUCAGGCUGGGCCAGAGGUUACAUUUAGGCAUGACCAUGGCAGACCCUGACACUGGGGUUCCAGUGCCUACUUUGGCUAUGACCAUUCACCCACAAACUGGAUCAGUAUACCCACUGGGAAGGCUGCAUGUCUGCCCACUCACUCGCAUGCCACAACCCAUUCAGAUAGGCUAUCCCAUGCUGGACUCCAGGACUGGGAACAUUGUACUUACUGUUGGGGUGACUUUGGAUUCAGUAACAGGAGAUGUGCUGCCAGUAGGUGGAGUGAUGCUGGCUGAGUCCUUCUCUGAACCUCUGAGUGGGCGGAUGGUGAGAGUCGGGGGGGCCAGCAUGAGAGCUGGACAUGUGGUGCCGACCACAGGAGGAUACCAAAAUCUCCUGGAUACCAAGGUUUUGGCAGAAAUGUUGAAGGUUUUGGAUCACCUGAGGCCUUUAAUUGAGGAGUCUGCUUUUGAUCCAACUGCACCACUUCCACAAGCCUAUUCAGGCAAUGAGAAAGAAACCAGUCAACAAGAUCUUCUUGCAGCUGCUGCCAAAGAUAUGGAGCAAGCCUGGGGGAGGAGCCUGCAUUGUCAGCUGCAGUUUCAGACCAGGCUGGAGAUGCUUCUAGAGAGCGCUAUUGGUCUUCAGCAGGAUGGAGGGGCUCUUGGUAUGACAAAGAUUGAGAGCUGUGAUAGAGUUUUCCAUUGCUUAAAAAAAACAAUCUGGUACCAUUUCUACACAUUUGCUUCCAUAUCACUUUUAUAA